rnacentral:lncRNA from 1 species
GUAGUGCCGCAACUACCUCCUCCCGAGGUGCCGUCGCCGGUGCCGCACGUGAAGAACUGGGCGCGGGGGACUGCGCUCUCGGUGCGACGUCCACCACGGGUGCUGGCGGUGUGGGACCCUGGGUCUCCCUCAAAGCUGCCGCCUGCUGCAGUAGAAGGUCCUCAAGAUGCUUCAUCCGCGCCUCCUGCCGCUAAGCUACCUCGGCCUGUCGCUGCGCCGCCGCCGUCUGCUGCGCCAACAAAUCAGUGAUAACCGCAAGCUAGGCCCUCAGGUCACGGACCUCACUAGAUCCGGAAGUAUGCAUUAUGAGUUAUGGAUUUGAUAUCCUAGUCGAGAGGAUCUAGGGCUGAGGUAUAUGUGAGACGUCCAUCGCCUCGAGCCUGGUUCUAGUGCGGUACUCCGCAGACGAUUGACUCAAGACCGAGUCGGGUGGUUAGCCUUGUAAAGAAAGAUGAAACCUUAUGAUUAAAACGGUGAUUGACAAGAAUCUAAGAUAGAGGAAACCUUAGAUAUCGAAUGGAUGAGCUAUGGUUAGCAGAUUUGAAAGUAGUGUCAAAUGAACUACUAGUUGGUUGCAUAGUUGCAUUAUUGCAUGAUUUGCAUAUAGCAUUGCAUUAUUGCAUUCGUGAGGCAAUGCAUGGUUUUAUUCGUUGCAUAAUCAAAAUAUAUAUAUCUAUCUGUUUACUGAACUAACUUGCAGUUGCCUCCCUUGGACCUAUUGGUCGAACUUUUCCCUUGGGUGGCCGUACCCACUGGGAACCAUGGAGUUGGUUCUCACCCCACGUGGUUUUGGGGUGUUUACAGGUUCACACGUGAGCGGCGCGGCGGCGCGAAGCGAGGGCGUAGCUCCAUAGUUAGCGCCUUACCACCGAGACCAGAGAUAGCGAUACCCUGAGUCGGCCUUACUUAGGGAUGUAAAGAAUGAAAAGAAUCAAGUGGUAAUAAUAUUGUUAAAGCUAGAUUGUAUUUGGAAGCUAAAAAGAAUGUAUUAUGUAAUUGUGAUGUAAAAUGAAUCUAAUGUGAAUGAAUGUAAUAAUAUAGGAUGUGUUUAUGUUGUUUGAUACCUUCCAUUAUGCAAUCUUGAUUGAAAUGUGUUCCUGGUUGGAACUUCGUACAUUGUAUUGAUUGCGAAGCCUUGAAUGUACAGGGGAGACUCUGUCCGCGGUACAGGGGAAACCCUGUCCAUUCGGUGAUCUGUUGCAGCGCCGCGACCCGGCCAAAUAGGCGGGCGGUCGCGGGGCGUGACA